GUGGGUAUAGCUCAGUUUGGUUAGAGCGCCAGAUUGUGGCUCUGGAGGUCAUGGGUUCGAAUCCCACUAUCCACC
rnacentral:tRNA from 1 species